GACGAACGCUGGCGGCGUGCUUAACACAUGCAAGUCGAACGAAAAGGCCCUGCUCUUGUGCCGUGCUCGAGUGGCGAACGCGUGAGUAACACGCAUGUAACCUGCCCUUGACUUUGGGAUAACUUCUGGAAACUGGGGCUCAUAUCGGAUAGGAGCUCCUGCUGCAUGGUGUGGGAUGGUAAGAUUCGGCGGUUGGGGAUGGACUCGCGGCUUAUCGGCUUGUUGGUCGGGUAGGUGCUGACCAAGGUUUUGACGGAUAGCCGGCCUGAGAGGGUGACCGGCGACCUUGGGACUGAGAGAGGGCGCAGAAGGGUACGGGACGCAGCGGGGGGGAGUAUUGCACAAUGGGCGGACGUCUGAUGCAGAAGUGUCGCGUGCGGGAUGACGGCCUUCUGGUGGUAAACCGAUUUGGAAGGUGACGAGGAGGGAGUGACGGUAAUGGGUAAAAAAGCAACGGCUAACUACGUG
rnacentral:rRNA from 1 species